CACCUUUAUUCACCAAGCAUUUACACAUGUCCAGAAUUUGCCUUAGUGAGAAGGUGCUGCCAGCAAUAGACAAUACAAACCGAAUACAGACAGUCCACAUAUACACCAUACAGAGUAUAGGCUGAUUACAGAGAGGAUAUACAAUUUACAGAGGACUAUAGCUAUACAAGCAGAGGGAGGGAUGCUGCCGUGGUGAAUAUAUACAAUGGAUACAUCUCUCCAACCCUGUUCCCGAGAGAGCUACCCUCCUGUAGGUUCUCUCUCCAACCCUGUCCCUGAGAGCUACCCUCCUGUUGGUUCUCUCUCCAACCCUGUCCCUGAGAGCUACCCUCCUGUUGGUUCUCUCUCCAACCCUGUUCCUGAGAGCUACCCUCCUGUAGGUUCUCUCUCCAACCCUGUUCCUGAGAGCUACCCUCCUGUAGGUUCUCUCUCCAACCCUGUUCCUGAGAGCUAUGCUCCUGUAGAUUUCUC
rnacentral:lncRNA from 1 species